UGCGGCCAUUCUCAAUGAGGCUCGAACAUCAUACGCCACGCACAACCGAAAGCUCAAGGAACUGUCACUCCUCCGAGCCAAAUCCUCUUCUUCGGUCUUCUUUUCCGCCUUCUCCAGAACCCUAACUCCUCUCUUUGAUUUCCAGAGGCGCCUUGCCUCUGUUGAACGCGUCGUCUCCUUCGUCUCUGCCCUUGCUGCCUCUGCCUCCGAUGAGUUCAUCGACUGCUUCCUCAAGUUCCUCCUAGCUGCCGCUACGACAUCCAGCAAAACAACCAGAUUCCGAGCGUGCCAGAUCGUCUCCGAGAUAAUGAUGGUGAGGGUACGAGACAAGAUGCCUAUGGUACUUUUGCAGUUAGAGCACUUUCACGUUUUGUGAACGACUCUGUGAACAGUGACAUCCUUGAUUUGUACCUCGAGGUGCUUCCCUUUGGAACAUAAUGCACCAAUGAAAUCACGUAGUGCAUCACCUUUAAUUUC